ACUGAUAAACCUUGAACGUCUGCGUCUGGCACGAGGCAAUAUCAGGAUCGGACGUCCGCUUUGCUUCGUAUAAAUAAGCGCCGCAAGGAUUGUUUUCUCACUGCCCUGCGACCAGACAACUGCACAUAUUCCUACUUCACUCCGACAAAGACAGUGAUUUCGCAAUGAAGACAUUCGGAAUUACCGUGUGCUUAGGACUUUUAGCAACAGCAUGUGCAGCCACACUGUAAGUAUACAGGAAUCCUGCUUGGUCAUCCGUUCAAAUUUUGGAUUUGGUGAAACUUUCUGCAAAUUUACAAACAUUUCAUUUCUAAUCGAACAAGCUUCUUCCCUUUAUUUCAUUAGAAAAGGUGGGUGAAAAUAUUUUUGUUUAUUUUUCUUUUCAGUGAGUCCCCGGAAAGUGAGUAUGCACUUCAGCAAACCGAGCAAGACAAAAAGCUCCAGGCUUCUGUCAUCCUGCUUUGCGAAUCAGUGGACAGAUGGAUUGAAACUAACAAGGGGUUAGAGCCGGCAGAGUUGCAGCAGCGCCUCGAGAGGCUAGUUGACGAGGCUGUCAAAGAAAACAAAGCACUGGACGUCCUAGAGGACGAGGACGACGCGGAAGACGACAGUGAUGCCGUGGUCGAGUAUGGACUUGGCAAGAAGUUGAAGAAGUGGAGGAAGAAGGCGAAGAAGGCCCUUGUCGACGCUGCGAAGGUGGUCGCUGUUAACAAGGUGGUCGGUGCCGCAGCUGGCGCUCUCGGAUGAAGAAUACCAAGUUUGCAGCGGUGGCAGAAAAAGAACCGACAGCUUUGAAAGGCAUUUCCUUAGGUCACCAAAAACUAAGGUCGUAGUGUGAUAUUGAUAACCAAUGAAAAUAAUUUAUCUAAUAAAAUCAUUUUCGUUGUUGAAAGAUAAA
rnacentral:lncRNA from 1 species